CUCGUUGUACCCAAGUGGCCGAAGGGUGCGGUUUGCAAGUCCGCCUGCGUCAAGCACACGUCAGUUCGAAUCUGACCAACGAGUCCA
rnacentral:tRNA from 1 species